rnacentral:rRNA from 1 species
CCACGGGCGCACGGCGGAUGCCUUGGCACAGGGAGCCGAUGAAGGACGCGGCAAGCUGCGAUAAUCCCCGGCGAGGAGCACACAUCCUUCGACCCGGGGGUCUCCGAAUGGGCGAACCCAUCCACAGCAGUGUGGAUAUCCCCACCCCGAACACAUAGGGGCGGGGAGGACAACCCGGGGAACUGAAACAUCUAAGUACCCGGAGGAGAGGAAAUCAAUCUCGAGACUCCCCGAGUAGCGGCGAGCGAAAGGGGACCGAUGGCCAAACCGUCGAGCGGGCAUACCCGGCAGGGGUUCCGCCGACGGGGUUGCAGGGCCGCGCAUCCGGGGGCUGCCGCCCCCGGGCGCAGGUCCGGCUGGGGAGCGGAACGGCAUGGGAGGGCCGGCCGCAGCGGGUGACAGCCCCGUACGCGAACCCAGACCGGACGGCGCGACGCGGUCCCUGAGUAGGGCCGGGCACGUGAAACCCGGUCCGAACCUGGGUGGACCACCAUCCAAGCCUGAGUACUACCCUGUGACCGAUAGCGCACCAGUACCGUGAGGGAAAGGUGAAAAGCACCCCGGGAGGGGAGUGAAACAGUACCUGAAACCGUGCGCCCACGAGCAGUCGGAGCACCUAUAUGGUGUGACGGCGUGCCUUUUGUAGAAUGAGCCAGCGAGUCGCUGGCGCGGGGCGAGGUUAACCGAAAGGGAGCCGGAGCGAAAGCGAGCCUUAACAGGGCGACUUGAGUCCCGCGCCGCGGACGCGAAGCCGGGUGAGCUAUCCGUGGGCAGGCUGAAGCGGGGGUAAGACCCCGUGGAGGGCCGAACGCACGUCGGUUGAAAACGGCGGCGAUGACCUGCGGAUAGGGGUGAAAGGCCAAUCAAACCCGGAGAUAUCUCGUUCUCCCCGAAAUAGCUUUAGGGCUAGCGUCGCGCGUUCACCGCCGGAGGUAGAGCACCGGAUGGACGAGGGGGCUUCGCCGCCUACCGAAUCCAACCGAACUCCGAAUGCCGGCGGCCCAGAGCGCGGCAGUCAGAGCAUGUGGGCUAAGCUGUGUGCUCGAGAGGGAAACAGCCCGGACCGCCCGCUAAGGUCCCCAAGUUCCAGCCGAGUGGCAAAGGAUGUGCGUCCGCCCAGACAACCAGGAUGUUGGCUUAGAAGCAGCCAUGCAUUCAAAGAGUGCGUAACAGCUCACUGGUCGAGUGGACAUGCGCCGACAAUACACGGGGCUAAGCUGGACACCGAAGCGGCGGGAUUUUAUCUAUAUAGAAUCGGUAGGGGAGCUUCCCAUGGGCGGUGAAGCCGCCGGGCGACCGGCGGUGGAGCGCAUGGGAGUGAGAAUGCUGGCAUGAGUAGCGAGAGACGAGAGAGUAACUCGUCCGCCGUGAACCCGAGGUUUCCUGGGCAAGGCUAAUCCUCCCAGGGUCAGUCGGGGGCUAAGGCGAGGCCGGUAGGCGUAGCCGACGCGCAGCAGGCAGACAUUCCUGCACCGCGCACGCGGCGCUACGACCGACGGGGCGACGGAUGGGGGUGGCUCGGCGGGGUUCUGGACGUCCCCGUGAUGGAGCGCGGCCCGCGGACCAGGGAAAUCCGGUCCGCACGAGGGCGAGGCUCCGGACGAAGCGAUCAAGCGAAGCGAGUGAGCCCGAGGUCCCUAGAAAAACCCCUAGGCAGGCGCGUGCGCGCCCGUACCGCAAACCGACACAGGUGGGUGGGUAGAACAUACCGAGGCGAUCGGGUCAACCAUGGUCAAGGAACUCGGCACAAUGGCCCCGUAACUUCGGGAGAAGGGGUGCCCGCGCGUACGUGAACCGGCUUGCCCGGGGAGCGGAGGCGGGCCGCAGUGGAGAGGCCCAAGCGACUGUUUACCAAAAACACAGGACUCUGCAGAAGCCGCAAGGCGACGUAUAGGGUCUGACGCCUGCCCGGUGCCGGAAGGUCACGCGGAGGAGUUAGCCGCAAGGCGAAGCCCCGAAGCCAAGCCCCGGUAAACGGCGGCCGUAACUAUAACGGUCCUAAGGUAGCGAAAUUCCUUGUCGGGUAAGUUCCGACCUGCACGAAAGGCGCAACGACUUGGGCGCUGUCUCGACCAUGGACCCGGUGAAAUUGCACUGGUCGUGAAGAUGCGACUUACCCGCGGAAGGACGGAAAGACCCCGUGAACCUUCACUGCAGCUUGGCAUUGGCCGCUGGUCCCGCGUGUAGAGGAUAGGCAGGAGGCGCAGAUCCGGAGGCGCCAGCCCCCGGGGAGCCGCCCUUGGAAUACUGCCCUCGCGCGACCGGCGUCCUAACCCGAGGCCGUCAACCGGCUCGGGGACCGUGCCAGGCGGGCAGUUUGACUGGGGCGGUCGCCUCCUAAAGGGUAACGGAGGCGCGCGAAGGUCCGCUCGGGACGGUCGGCAACCGUCCUUUUGAAUGCAAGAGUACAAGCGGGCUUGACUGCGAGGCCCACAAGCCGAGCAGGUGCGAAAGCAGGCUCUAGUGAUCCGGCGGCCCCGAGUGGGUGGGCCGUCGCUCAACGGAUAAAAGGUACUCCGGGGAUAACAGGCUGAUCUUGCCCAAGAGUCCACAUCGACGGCAAGGUUUGGCACCUCGAUGUCGGCUCAUCGCAUCCUGGGGCUGGAGCAGGUCCCAAGGGUACGGCUGUUCGCCGUUUAAAGCGGUACGCGAGCUGGGUUCAGAACGUCGUGAGACAGUUCGGUCCCUAUCCUCCGUGGGCGCAGGAGAAUCGAUGGAGGCUGCCCCCAGUACGAGAGGACCGGGGUGGACGCACCUCCGGUGAACCGGUUGUCGACCAACGGCACGGCCGGGUAGCCGCGUGCGGCGCGGAUAACCGCUGAAGGCAUCUAAGCGGGAAGCCGUUCCAGGGAUUAGUUCUCCUUCCGGUAAGGGCCCAGGUAGACUACCUGGUCGAUAGACGGCAGGUGCAAGGACGGCGACGUCCUCAGCCGAGCCGCACUAAUCGCCCGAGCUCUUCCGGA